rnacentral:rRNA from 1 species
GAUAUUCCUGUACUACCGAUAACCAUUUGAGAGAAGGAUGACACAGUAGGAUAAGCUAAGCACACUGUUGGUUAUGUGUGCCCAAGCAUUGAGGCAGUCAAAGUAGGCAAAUCCGCUUUGAUAAUGCUGGGAUGUGAUGGGGAGCGAAAUUUAGUAGCGAAGUAGCUGAUUUCACACUGUCAAGAAAAGUCUCUAUCGAGGUUAAAGGUACCCGUACCGCAAACCGACACAGGUGGGUGAGGAGAGUAUCCUAAGGCCAGCGAGAGAACUGUUGUUAAGGAACUCGGCAAAAUGACCCCGUAACUUAGGGAUAAGGGGUGCCACCAUCAGGUGGCCGCAGAGAAUAGGCCCAAGCGACUGUUUACCAAAAACAUAGGUUUCUGCUAAGUCGCAAGACGAUGUAUAGGAGCUGACGCCUGCCCGGUGCUGGAAGGUUAAGGGGAUCUGUUAGAGCAAUCGAAGCAGUGAACUUAAGCCCCAGUAAACGGCGGCCGUAACUAUAACGGUCCUAAGGUAGCGAAAUUCCUUGUCGGGUAAGUUCCGACCCGCACGAAAGGCGUAACGAUUUGGGCACUGUCUCAACAACAGACUCGGUGAAAUUGUAAUUCCGGUGAAGAUGCCGGAUACCUGCGACAGGACGGAAAGACCCCAUGGAGCUUUACUGUAGCUUGACAUUGGGUCUUGGUACUACAUGUACAGGAUAGGUGGGAGGCUUUGAAACCAGGACGCCAGUUUUGGCGGAGCCAUCCUUGGGAUACCACCCUUGUAGUACUGGGACUCUAACCAUAGGCCAUGAAUCUGGUCUUGGGACACUGUCAGGUGGGCAGUUUGACUGGGGCGGUCGCCUCCCAAAAGGUAACGGAGGCGCUCAAAGGUUCUCUCAGUACGGUCGGAAAUCGUACGUAGAGUGUAAAGGCAAAAGAGAGCUUGAUUGCAAGACAUACAGGUCGAGCAAGGAUGAAAAUCGGACUUAGUGAUCCGGUGGUUCUGCGUGGAAGGGCCAUCGCUCAACGGAUAAAAGCUACCCUGGGGAUAACAGGCUUAUCUCCCCCAAGAGUCCACAUCGACGGGGAGGUUUGGCACCUCGAUGUCGGCUCAUCACAUCCUGGGGCUGUAGUAGGUCCCAAGGGUUGGGCUGUUCGCCCAUUAAAGUGGUACGCGAGCUGGGUUCAGAACGUCGUGAGACAGUUCGGUCCCUAUCCGUCGCAGGCGUAGGAAAUUUGAGAAGACCUGUCCUUAGUACGAGAGGACCGGGAUGGACGUACCUCUGGUGUACCAGUUGUUCUGCCAAGGGCAUGGCUGGGUAGCUGUGUACGGAAUGGAUAAGCGCUGAAAGCAUCUAAGCGCGAAGCCAACUUCAAGAUAAGAUUUCCCACCGCAAGGGUAAGACCCCAGAAAGACUAUCUGGUUGAUAGGUCGAAGGUGUAAGUGCAGCAAUGUAUUUAGCUUAUCGAUACUAAUAGGUCGAGGACUUGACC